rnacentral:ncRNA from 1 species
CUCGAUAAAGGCAAACCAUAAGCAAUUGUGGGACGCAAAGUAAAGGGUCUUUUUUAGCAUACAGGGAAGUAUGGUGGGACGAUAGGGAAAAGUCCUUUUUUUAAUGUUGUAGGGAAAUAGGCAUAAUAAGACAGCCUUACUGCCGAAA